rnacentral:rRNA from 1 species
GACGAACGCUGGCGGCGUGCUUAACACAUGCAAGUCGAACGGAAAGGCCCUGCUUUUGUGGGGUGCUCGAGUGGCGAACGGGUGAGUAACACGUGAGUAACCUGCCCUUGACUUUGGGAUAACUUCAGGAAACUGGGGCUAAUACCGGAUAUGAGCUCCUGCUGCAUGGUGGGGGUUGGAAAGUUUCGGCGGUUGGGGAUGGACUCGCGGCUUAUCAGCUUGUUGGUGAGGUAGUGGCUUACCAAGGCUUUGACGGGUAGCCGGCCUGAGAGGGUGACCGGCCACAUUGGGACUGAGAUACGGCCCAGACUCCUACGGGAGGCAGCAGUGGGGAAUAUUGCACAAUGGGCGGACGCCUGAUGCAGCAAUGCCGCGUGCGGGAUGACGGCCUUCGGGUUGUAAACCGCUUUCGCCUGUGACGAAGCGUGAGUGACGGUAAUGGGUAAAGAAGCACCGGCUAACUACGUG